GACGAACGCUGGCGGCGUGCCUAAUACAUGCAAGUAGAACGCACAGUUUAUACCGUAGCUUGCUACACCAUAGACUGUGAGUUGCGAACGGGUGAGUAACGCGUAGGUAACCUGCCUGGUAGCGGGGGAUAACUAUUGGAAACGAUAGCUAAUACCGCAUAAUAUUGAUUAUUGCAUGAUAAUUAAUUGAAAGGUGCAAUUGCACCACUACCAGAUGGACCUGCGUUGUAUUAGCUAGUAGGUGAGGUAACGGCUCACCUAGGCGACGAUACAUAGCCGACCUGAGAGGGUGAUCGGCCACACUGGGACUGAGACACGGCCCAGACUCCUACGGGAGGCAGCAGUAGGGAAUCUUCGGCAAUGGACGAAAGUCUGACCGAGAAACGCCGCGUGAGUGAAGAAGGUUGUCGGAUCGUAAAGCUCUGUUGUAAGAGAAGAACGGGUGUGAGAGUGGAAAGUUCACACUGUGACGGUAUCUUACCAGAAAGGGACGGCUAACUACGUG
rnacentral:rRNA from 1 species